rnacentral:rRNA from 1 species
GAUGAACGCUGACAGAAUGCUUAACACAUGCAAGUCUUUGGCGAAGCUGUGCCUGCACAGCCUAGCCAAGGCGGACGGGUGAGUAACGCGUAAGGAACUUGCCCUGCAGUCAGGGAUAACAGACGGAAACGACUGAUAAGACCUGGUAAAGUCAGGCGGACUCAUGUCCAGCCUGAUGAAAAGAGAUGCUGCAGGAGAGCCUUGCGUCCUAUUAGCUUGUUGGUGGGGUAACGGCCCACCAAGGCGAUGAUAGGUAGCCGGCCUGAGAGGGUGGACGGCCACAAGGGGACUGAGAUACGGCCCUUACUCCUACGGGAGGCAGCAGUGGGGAAUAUUGGACAAUGGGGGCAACCCUGAUCCAGCAAUUCUGUGUGCACGAUGAAGGUUUUCGGAUUGUAAAGUGCUUUCAGCAGGGAAGAAAAAAAUGACGGUACCUGCAGAAGAAGCGACGGCUAAAUACGUG